CACGUAGGGCGCAAGCGUUGUCCGGAAUUAUUGGGCGUAAAGAGCUCGUAGGCGGUCUGUUGCGUCCGCUGUGAAAACUCGGGGCUUAACCCCGAGCCUGCAGUGGAUACGGGCAGACUAGAGGUAGGUAGGGGAGAAUGGAAUUCCCGGUGUAGCGGUGAAAUGCGCAGAUAUCGGGAGGAACACCGGUGGCGAAGGCGGUUCUCUGGGCCUUACCUGACGCUGAAGAGCGAAAGCGUGGGGAGCGAACAGG
rnacentral:rRNA from 1 species